rnacentral:rRNA from 1 species
AGAUUGAACGCUGGCGGCAUGCUUUACACAUGCAAGUCGAGCGGCAGCGCGGGGCAACCUGGCGGCGAGCGGCGAACGGGUGAGUAAUAGAUAGGAACGUGUCCGGGAGUGGGGGAUAACUAGCCGAAAGGUUAGCUAGUACCGCAUAUUCUCCAAGGAGGAAAGCGGGGGACCAGAAAUGGCCUCGCGCUCGCGGAGUGGCCUAUCUCCGAUUAGCUAGUUGGUGAGGUAAAGGCUCACCAAGGCGACGAUCGGUAGCUGGUCUGAGAGGAUGAUCAGCCACACUGGGACUGAGACACGGCCCAGACUCCUACGGGAGGCAGCAGUGGGGAAUUUUGGACAAUGGGGGCAACCCUGAUCCAGCCAUGCCGCGUGCGGGAAGAAGGCCUUCGGUUGUAAACCGCUUUAUCGGAAGAAGGAGUGGAGGUAAUACUUCAUGACGGACGUACCGGAUGAAUAAGCACGCUAACUACGUGCCAGCAGCCGCGGUAA